rnacentral:rRNA from 1 species
GAUGAACGCUGGCGGCGUGCCUAAUACAUGCAAGUCGAGCGAACAGACGAGGAGCUUGCUCCUCUGACGUUAGCGGCGGACGGGUGAGUAACACGUGGAUAACCUACCUAUAAGACUGGGAUAACUUCGGGAAACCGGAGCUAAUACCGGAUAAUAUAUUGAACCGCAUGGUUCAAUAGUGAAAGACGGUUUUGCUGUCACUUAUAGAUGGAUCCGCGCCGCAUUAGCUAGUUGGUAAGGUAACGGCUUACCAAGGCGACGAUGCGUAGCCGACCUGAGAGGGUGAUCGGCCACACUGGAACUGAGACACGGUCCAGACUCCUACGGGAGGCAGCAGUAGGGAAUCUUCCGCAAUGGGCGAAAGCCUGACGGAGCAACGCCGCGUGAGUGAUGAAGGUCUUCGGAUCGUAAAACUCUGUUAUUAGGGAAGAACAAAUGUGUAAGUAACUAUGCACGUCUUGACGGUACCAAAUCAGAAAGCCACGGCUAACUACGUG